GGAAAUCUACAAUGUAAAAGUCUUGUUAUGUCUUUGAUCAGAUUCUAGAGAUACCAGAUGCUUACUCUUUAGGUUAAAAAUAACAAAAUAAGGAUGGUAUGAGGGAGGAACAUCCAAUAGCAGAGUAUUUUAUUGGUUUUUAAUCCCUCGGUGGAAUAAUGGCUGGAACAUUAAGAGUGUCAAAUGGAUUCAAAGACAUCUGCACUCUGGCAAGAGUUGUUGAGUUUGGGGUUUUCUCUCUUUUUGUUUCAGUCAUCACACAAACCUGCUGUGGAAAUGUCAGUGCCAAACAUCAGACGAGCCUCUUACAGGAGGGGAACUAGAGAGCAUGGGUCAUUAAAAUGACAGCUGAUUCUGCAGCCUCAGCUUGAACCUGUGCAACAUCAUGCUCGGGUUAGUCUAAAGAGUAACAAAGUUGGCCUUUGAAUUUCGUUUCCUAGUUAUGAAGGAGGCAUUAAUGAGGGGGAAACAGCAGAGAAAGCCAGGGGAAUUGGGUAGAGAAGGCAGCAGUAGGCCAGGCUCCCAGGAAAACUCAUUGCCAAACUCCGAUUAAUUGAGUUUAUAAUCUGAGACCGUAUAGGACAAGCACCUCUUUGAAGAAAGAAUUCAUUUUGUCGUAAACAGUCAGCUGAUCCAAUAGCGGUAUUUAAUGUUUUUAUGUUUACAUUUAAAGGUUUUUUUUUUAUUAAUGUACUGUUAUUGAACAUCUUUCAUGAUUUAUAAGCUGUAAAAUAUUUUAAUCCCUGGCUCACUUGUUUACCAAGCUCUUCACGUAAUGCUAUAAUAUGUAGCACUUGCAACCAUCUGUUAGGAAUGCUUGAAUAAUAUGCACACUGUGAAGAUAUGUGUAGCAAAUAAAGCACAAAACACAUGAAAUAUUCAGGAAGAGUUCAUGAAGACAAUCCAUGUGUUUUAAUUUUUUUUUUUAAAUGUGGUCUGAAAUCUAGCAGGAAGACUUUCAAAAAACGAAGCUCUCUUUCUGGGCAAAUUGCUCUGUUGAGUGGCAUGAAGAUGUCAUUUUUGACUUCAAGUGAAUAGAUUUUAAAUAAAAAUAUUGGUAUUAGUACUAAUUAGAAUUGUGCUUCUAAGCAUCCUUAAUUAAGCGUGAGAAGUUAUUGCGGGGUAACAACAGCAGCCGCACGGGAACCACGAUAAGCAGACUGCUCUGUGCAGCGGCCAGAGACAGAGCUGUGACUAGGACAGCCUGAGUGUCUCGAGGUUGUCCCUGGAGGGAGGGCUUGGGGGGAGCACCAGGGUUAAUUUGGUAGUCUUGGAAACACUGAGCUGGGUGCAGUGAAAUCCUGGGCCUUGGAGGAUACCUUAAUCCUGUUGGAGGUUGAAGCUGUUUGUUUAUUUCUUUCUUCAGAAUUAGCGGAGGAUGGGAGCAGGCGGGCACCAUGGAUGAGUCACCCAGAACAGGGGACCUUGUUGUGAAAGAUUGAAAACUGAGGUUUCCAAAGUCACCCAGCUGGAUGUAGACACCUGGAUCCUUAGUCCAGCCACCUGUUAGCCAGAAGGGAUUCUAAGGAGCCUUGUUGUUAUUAAAGGGUCACGUCACCCUACGAGCUGUGCCAUGAUGCCUCCUUGGAGAGUGUGCCAGAACGGUAUACACACGGCACACAAUUUAGUUCCCAGCAGGCCACGGGAUUGUCUGGCCAGUGGUGAGUCUUAAGGCCUGGUACUUUUUAGCAGUGCCUUCUCUGAAUGCUUUCGUCGCUUGUGUUUUGAUGCCUCAACCAGGUGUCCUCAGAUUUAACCUUCUUGUUUGGUGAUUGUUACUUUUUGGUUUCGCAAUAGCAGGAGAGACCUCACUCGGGUGUCCCUCAAACGCCCAAAGCACAUCCAUCUGUCAAAACUGGGAUAAGACCACAGCUGCAUACCACAUCUUAAUUUCUGAUUGACUGUGGCAUAUAACUCACUAUUUUUAUAUAUUAGCAUAUUAUUUCAACCUUUUGUCUGAUCCUUAUUCUUUCAGCGUAAUUAUAGACACCCUAGGUAUUUAUUACGAUCUAGCUAAAAUAAUUGGGGACUAUCCCUUCUGUUGAUUCCCACAGACUGGCCAACCAUUUUAUUUAUUUGCUUUUGUUUGAUGCAUUCUUUAAUUAAAAAGCAUGUUUUCAUGUCCUUUAGUAGAAAAUACAUCUAUCCAUACAUGAAAGGAUGAUGUCUCGAAGUUCCUGUUAUGGCUCAGUGGUAACAAACCCAACUAGUACCCAUGAGGAUGCGGGCUGAAUCCCUGGUCUCGCUCAGUGGCUUAAGGAUCCAGCACUGCCGUGAGCUAUGGUGUAGGUCACAGAUGCAGCUCGGAUUCCACGUUGCUAUGGCUGUGGUGUAGACUGGUAGCUUUGGUUCCGAUUCAGUCUCUAACUGGGGAGCCUCCAUAUUCCUUAAGGGCAGCCCUAAAAAACAAAACAAAACAAAAAAAUGAUGUUUCUUUAAAAAUCUUAAUUUUCAGGAGUUCCCGUUGUGGCGCAGUGGUUAACGAAUCCGACUAGGAGCCAUGAGGUUGCGGGUUCGGUCCCUGCCCUUGCUCAGUGGGUUAAGGAUCUGGCGUUGCCGUGAGCUGUGGUGUAGGUUGCAGACGCGGCUCGGAUCCCGCGUUGCUGUGGCUCUGGCAUAGGCCUGUGGCUACAGCUCCAAUUCAACCCCUAGCCUGGGAACCUCCAUAUGCUGCGGGAGCGGCCCGAGAAAUAGCAAAAAGACAAAAAAAAAAUUUUUUUAAUUAAAAAGAAAUAAAAAUCUUCAGUUCCUUUUUUAAAUUUUUAAAAAUUGUUAUUGGAGUAUAGUUGAUUUACAGUAUUGUGUCAAUUUCUGCUAUACCGUAAAGUGACCCAGUCACACACAUAUUACAUUCUUUUUCUCCUCUUAUCGUCCGUCAUGGUCUAACCCAGGAGACAGGAGACUGAAUAUAGUUUCCGGUGCUACACAAUAGGACUUCGCUGCUUAUCCAUUCUAAAUGUAACAGUUUGCACCUACCAGUAAUUUUUACAUGCUCCGUCUUCUAGUUGAGUGUUGAUCCUUAUGUACUAGAGGCCAGUCAUCUUAUGCCUCUCAGUUGUCUUUGCACUGAGUUCUUCCUCUUUGUAGAAGGAAUCGCUGUGUUGAACAAGCUUCAGCCAAGUUUCUCUUCGAUGGGCAGGCACUAGCGCUUGGCAUUCCCUAGCAACUACAUGGAUCUCAGGUACCAUGUCUACCUGGUAAGUUUACUCCUGUCUUUAUUAUUUUCAUAUCCAUAUUUCUCUUUGUCCUGGCUCAUUUACUUCAUCAUUUUGAAUUGCAGCUAUUGUUGUAAAUCACCUCAGAUCUUUUAUUGGAUGGGGCAUCAUAUGAAGAGUUUUUUUUUUCCUGGCACAUCUUCAACUGCAUGCAAAGUACCCCGUCUGAUCUUUGUGUUGACCUCUAGCAAACUGCAUCUUGUACAUUUGUUUGUCCUUGUAUGUGAGUCUACUGGUUAUUUAAAGAUAUAUAGAUCUAUGCAUACACACACACAAAAAACUCCUGGCAGAGUUUGAGCUUCUAGUCAUUGUAGCCCCAACAUGGCUGCCUAGCAUAGAACCUGGUAUUUAGUUGGUACUCAAUAUUUGUUGAGUGAGUGAUCAAAUUAUUAAGAUCCGUGUGGUUGUUAGGAGUAUCUGUUAUAAAUGGUGAUUUUUAACAAGCAGUGGGAGUUGGAUCUAGAGAAGAAAUGAUUGCUACCAAAACAUUGCCAGUGUAAACGGGAACAGGCAGAAAUAAAUGUCUAUCGUAAAUUAUAAGCUUAAAAUUUAAAAGGCAUCCUUAAUCAGCUUUCACUCCUUUAUUUUAGCAAGGGCUUGUCAUACACAACUCUGUUUAUUUGUUUAAAUUUGUCGGCACUCGCUGCCCAUCUGUAUGCAUGCCGGACAGAACCAGAUAGCUGCACACCUUUGCUGCCCUCCCACUUACAGGUCACAUAGCCCAUUUCUGGUCCUCAGUAAAUGCGUGGUAGAGAAGAGAAGGGAGGCAGUUUAGAGGCUGGUUCUUUGAAAUAUGGUGUAAAAAGUUUUUUCCUUUUUUGUCGCAUGUGAUUUGGAUGGCAGCAUGCUGAGAUUUUAAUUAUCCCCACUUUAAAAUAUUGCAACGUGGCUAUUGUAAAAACACUUUCCAUUGUCCUUGAUGAAGGGAGGAGCUCCUGUUCUAAUUUGGCUUAUAUUUGUAAUUAAUGAGAAAGAAAGAACCCUUGAGUGGUCCCUAAUUGAAACAGGGACUACAUCGAUCCACUCUUGUUUAGGAGUCUUAUCGAAAGUCUAGAUAGAAAAAUGGUAUUCUUAACUGUAUCAUGAUGCAAAAAUAAAUCAUUAGUGAGGACACGAAGCAAGAUAGGUUUUUCUGAUUGCAGUACUUUAUUUAAUAUACAUGUCUUUCAUUGAAUAGUCAGGAAAAAUGAGUCCAAAAUAAAACCUCAGGGCAGUAAAUAGAUUUCAGUGUGAGUGUUAAUUGCUCCAUCAACAGUUGCUGCUGCGUCAAGGUAGUUGGUGAAGCCUCAUCUGGAUUCUCCCAUCCACCCAUUGAUCCAAACCAGUAUCCAUUCUCCCUCCCUUCCUUCCUUCCCUCUUCUCAACAAACUGAAUACCCGCCAUGUGCAAAGCACUGUUCUCAAUGCUAGCGAUAGAGUUGAGCAGGCUGAACAAAGGGAAAUCGGACCCUGAUCCGUCAGUGACGUCUGCCAAGGGCCCAUGAAAUCUGUGGCCCCCCCCAUUUUUAAGGCGCAUUUUUGAAUCUUUUAAGGCCUAUUCGAGUUGAAGUAACCAGUUAAUAAGUACUCUGGAAUUAAUCACAGCACCACCAGCUGGUUGCCCUUGAGUAUUAUCUUCUUGUGAGUGUAGAACUUCACGUCAUCUGACAAAUACUGAUCUUAGACUUUGAGUUAAUGGUAGAUAUAUCUAGGAGUUCCCGCUGUGGCGCAGUGGUUAACGGAUCCGAUUAGGAACCAUGAGGUUUUGGGUUCAAUCCCUGGCCUUGCUCAGUGGGUUAAGGAUCCAGCACUGCCGUGAGCUAUGGUGUAGGUUGCAGACACGGCUUGGAUCCCGCGUUGCUGUGGCUCAGGCGUAGGCCGGUGGCUACAGCUCCAAUUCGACCCCUAGCCUGGGAACCUCCAUAUGCAAUGGGAACAGCCCAAGAAAUGG
rnacentral:lncRNA from 1 species